rnacentral:sRNA from 1 species
AUAAGAUGUGGCUCCUCCAUGUCGACGGCUCCUCCAACCGACAAGGAUCCGGAGUAGGAAUACAACUCACCUCCCCCACCGGGGAAGUCAUCGAACAAUCGUUCCGACUCGGAUUCAACGCAUCAAACAACGCGUCUGAGUACGAAGCCCUCAUUGCUGGCAUUAAGCUAGCUCAAGGAAUGGGGAUCUGCGAUAUACACGCAUACAACUCGUCACCAGCCAGUUCCACGGGGAAUACGAAGCUAAAGACGGGCGCAUGGAAGCGUACCUCGAACUAGACAAAACCUUGACCCAACAGUUUGAAUUGUUUGAAUUAACCAGGAUCCCUAGAGGAGAAAACACCUCUGUAGACGCCUUGGCAGCUCUCGCUUCCACGUCAGAUCCUUUCGCCAAAAGAAUUAUCCCGGUCGAAGGAAUAGAACACCCGAGCAUCGACCUAACGGUCAAACAUGCUGGGAUGGAAACCUCGACAACUUGCAACUUCACGCGAGUAACCUAAAGCACCACCGCCGCAGAUAGAGCUCUCGCAGCAGCCGCGGAGGUAAGUGCAGCGGAGCUCGAAACCCCCAAACAACCUGCCCCAUACGAACCUGAACCGUACAACGACUGGAGAAUCCCAAUCAUCGAUUACAUCGAACGAGGGAUCACACCUCCCGACAAGUGGGAGGCCAAAAAACUCAAAGCCCAGAGUGCAAGGUACUGUAUCAUGGAAGGGAGACUUAUGAAACGCAGCGUCGCAGGACCCUAUAUGAUGUGUACCUAUGGGCAACAAACAAAAGACCUCAUGAAAAGCAUGCACAAAGGACAAUGUGGUAGCCACUGUAGUGGACGUACCCUCGCCCUCAGAAUCAAAAAGCAAGGCUACUUCUGGCCAACAAUGCUAACCGAUUGCAUAGCUCACUCACUCAGGUGCGAUAAGUGCCAACGGCACGCACCUACUCUGCACCAACCUCCCGGGGAAAUGUCCUCAAUAUCUUCUCCUCACCCGUUCAUGAAGUGGUCCAUGGACGUCGUAGGUCCCAUGGAAGCCUCCGGUGGGAAGAAAAGACUAAAAAAAACUUCUGGUCCUCAUCGACUACUCGACCAAAUGGAUUGAGGCUAAAGCCUUCCAACAGGUAACCGAGAAACAAGUUGAGGACUUCCUGUGGGAAAAUAUUGUAUGCCGACAUGGCAUACCAAAUGAGAUCGUCACCGAUAACAGAACUAACUUCACCUCGGGAAAAAUCAAAGCAUUCUGCGACAAGUAGAAGAUCCAUCUUACCACGUCCACCCCCCGUUACCCACAAGGUAACGGACAGGCAGAAGCCGCCAACAAAGCUAUACUUAGCAACAUCAAGAAAAGACUUGAUU